UUCUUCUUUGUUUGUUCUACAUCAGUACAUGAUCAUGCAAAUUUUGUCAGUGGAGGACGAAGUAAAGAAUCAACUAACAGACCUCAGAAGAGAAUUUACGAUGGGAAGGGCAUGAGAUGAUAGGGUUUGAGGAAAUUUUUGUUGUGGGUUUUAAUUGUUUGAUUUUGCUUAUUUGGUGGUUGUGAUUUCCAAGAAUUCAUUUUCGGUGAACACUUUUUGUGGGGCUCUUAUAAAUCAUGUAAGUUUUAAUUGUAAAUUCGUAUAAAUUAUCCUUUUAUUUUAAUAAAAUAUUGAUUUUUAUUAUUUUGUGCUUGUGAUAUCAAUAACAAUUAUAGGCAAGAAUUAUUGUAUAAAUCAUCUUUUUGCUGUAGGUUUCCUAGGGUUGUUAUGAGUAUUGAUGGAUGAAUUGUUGAAGGGUUUCAUAUUUACAAAACAAUGGAGAGAGGGGGAGAGAAAUUUGCAAAAUAAAAGAGGGAAGGGAAAGGGGGAGAGGGGGAGGAAAGAAAAGCAAAAAGAGGAAGGAGAGAGAUAGAGAAAAGAAGGAAUAUACAGGGGUUUAUAACUUGGAAACCUGCUAUAACAGGUUAGAGGAUUAGUUUCUGAAACAAAAUUAAAGUUGGGUGAUAUUAUUACAACAUAUUGAAGUUGAGGGAUGGAAAUGAGACAACCUCCUAAGUUGGAGGACAAUGGAUAAAAAUUACACAAUAAGAACUACAACAAACUGCAGUGUACCAUCAACAACAACAUGUAAACCAAACUUGUGGUACCAACUAAAAAUUAUUAAAUACAAAACCAAAAGGAGUAUGAAUUCCCAAUCCACACCACAAAGAAAGAAAUAGGAUGCACAUGAAGAUUCUGUUUCCAGAUCACAAAGAGCUAGUGACAAGCCUCACAUUUAACACAUGCAUGGAAUUUUCCUGAUCCAAAUGCCCCACCUGGACCGGAGUUCACACCUAUGCCAUUUUUUCCAAACAAAUUCCAUUAUCUGCUAAGAAUGCCAAAGUAUCUACACACCGAUAAAGGAAAGGGAUACACUACCCUAUUGAGUCAGUCAACAUCACCGCUAGUAAAUUGACUCCAUGAGGAGAGACAGCUAGAGCCUAGAGGCAAUUGAAGUGGGGAUACCACCAAUUGUUGAAACAAAAUUGGAAGUAAAUAACAGCAUUGAGAGGGAUACAAGAAGUACUGGGAAAUAUGUAAACAUAUGCAUCUAUAUUUGUGUACGCAUGUAGAUCCACAAUUAUGAGCUGUGAUGGUACACUGGGUCCGGAUGGGGCUUCAAUAGCUAGUAGCACAUAAAGCAUCAUCAUGCCAAAAAAAAAAAAAAU
rnacentral:misc_RNA from 1 species